GACGAACGCUGGCGGCGUGCUUAACACAUGCAAGUCGAACGGAAAGGCCCUGCUUUUGUGGGGUGCUCGAGUGGCGAACGGGUGAGUAACACGUGAGUAACCUGCCCUUGACUUUGGGAUAACUUCAGGAAACUGGGGCUAAUACCGGAUAGGAGCUCCUGCUGCAUGGUGGGGGUUGGAAAGUUUCGGCGGUUGGGGAUGGACUCGCGGCUUAUCAGCUUGUUGGUGGGGUAGUGGCUGACCAAGGCUUUGACGGGUAGCCGGCCUGAGAGGGUGACCGGCCACCUUGGGCCUGAGGUACGGCCCAGACUCCUACGGGAGGCAGCAGUGGGGAAUAUUACACAAUGGGCGGAAGCCUGAUGCAGCAACGCCGCGUGCGGGAUGACGGCCUUCGGGUUAUAAACCGCUUUCGCCUGUGACGAAGCGUGAGUGACGGUAAUGGGUAAAGAAGCACCGGCUAACUACGUG
rnacentral:rRNA from 1 species